rnacentral:rRNA from 1 species
UGGGGAAUAUUGCACAAUGGGCGAAAGCCUGAUGCAGCAACGCCGCGUGAGCGAAGAAGGUCUUCGGAUCGUAAAGCUCUGUCCUUGGGGAAGAUAAUGACGGUACCCUUGGAGGAAGCCCCGGCUAACUACGUGCCAGCAGCCGCGGUAAUACGUAGGGGGCAAGCGUUAUCCGGAUUUACUGGGUGUAAAGGGAGCGUAGACGGUAUUGCAAGUCUGAAGUGAAAGCCCGCAGCUCAACUGCGGGACUGCUUUGGAAACUGUGAGACUAGAGUGCAGGAGAGGUAAGUGGAAUUCCUAGUGUAGCGGUGAAAUGCGUAGAUAUUAGGAGGAACACCAGUGGUGAAGGCGGCUUACUGGACUGUAACUGACGUUGAGGCUCGAAAGCGUGGGGAGCAAACAGGAUUAGAUACCCUGGUAGU